GUCACAAACGCAUCUCACGGGAAUUUACUCCUUUAUAUAUCCCCUCAAUGCCAGAUUGCAGUGCAUAUAAACUUAUUUCAAAAUAGUAAAUUUUGAUUAAGUUUAUGGAAAUAAAUGGACAUUUUCCAAUGCCACUGCCACCAGUACAUCCGCAGAACAAAGUCGUUGCCUCGGCCACGCACGGAACGCGCGGGAGGCGUUCCGCUUCUGCAGCAGCCUGGCCCUGGCCGGCAUCCGCCCACCUUGAGGUCCGUCUUCUUGUCCAUGCCGAUCGCCGAUCGCCGACCGCAUCUUCUCCCCGAGGUUCACUGCGCACAACCCACAAGGAAGAAAAGGAACAAGCGAAAACACCGCCAGUUGAUGAAAACACAGCGGAUACCGUCUCAAAUUCGUCGGAGUAACCUGGCGGAUACCGCUGGGAUUAUCCCAAACUGGUCGCCGAAUCAAUCAAGAUCAAGGGAAGCAGCCCAAAGGGGUGACCUGGGAAAACAACUGCGAUUCAAAAUACGACGAAUCAAAAAAGGAAUCCGCACUUGUGUUCUCAGUGACACUCCUCUGGACGCGGCUUCUCUUCGCUAGAGCAUCAAGCAGUCAAUCGACGCACACAGGGGAGAGGAGGAAUAUGCACUUCCGCAUAUGCGCAGGCACGCGGGAGAUGUAAUGGCGGGACACUUGUGAUGAGAUCUGAG
rnacentral:rRNA from 1 species